rnacentral:lncRNA from 1 species
UUCAUCUUUCCUUGCCUUUUUUUCUCACUUCCCACAGCAGAGGAAACUUGCCAGACAAGAAUAGGAAAGUCCCAACAUCACCACUUUCUGAUCAACUUUCCUUUCUUCUAGCCUCACAACAUUUUUCUCCCAUUCUAUCCCCACUUGAGACAAAAGUCUCAAAAAUCCUUUCAUAUUACCAGGAGGAAAGACAAACUUCAUUCUUUGGCUAGAAUGGAUUCACUUGGCAUUGUCCUAAUAAAUCUGCCUUUGAAGCUGACGAAUCAUGUAUGUAUUCAAUCUUUCCUUCUUUCCUCUUUAUCAAUUGCCAUGGAAUUUGUAAAGAGUACUUUGAACCAAGUCUUCCCUUACUUCCAGUCACCCUAACCCUCCCUCAUAGCUUGCAAUUUCACACCUUUAUAUUUAUUUCCUCUAUUUCAAGAACCCAAUCCCGUUGCUUUCAAGGUUCAUUUUAGAAUUUUCCUUGUAGAUUUGACUUUUGCAUCUGAAUAUCAGGACUGUCCUUUCUCAUUUGGAGCUGCCUUUAACUCCUUGAUCAAUUGCCUUGGCCAACAUGGGAAUGUUACUCUGAAACACAAUGCUUUCCUCUGCCUUUGACCUAAACCCUGCAGUGUUCCUGGAGAGCGCUUUCAUGACACCUGCUCAAAGUCAUGCUCUUUUUUUUCUCAGACACCUAAUGCUGUGCAGUUGGUUCCUUUUCUUUUCCAACUUUUUCUCUUUCUACCUUGUGGCCUUAAAUUCUACAGACAAAUGCUGCCAAAAUCCACACAGUUUCUGGUUUGCUGAUACCAGCCAAGGGCUCCUGGUGCUCUCAGCUACUGUUUCCCUCUACCUCAGCACCACUUGAUCAGUUCCCUGAAAAAGAUUCCAGGCAAGGCUUACAUGUAGCAGAUUUUCUCUGGCUCUUCCUGUACUCCCAACAAGUCUCGCCUAGCUAAAAAAAAUUAUUUGAGUUUCUCUGCCCUUUCUGAAUAGGGCACAGAGGCCAUUGCAUAUCUUCCCAAUGUUCUUCAGUGUUGACCUUUCAGUUCUGCAAACUGGGAAUUUGUAGAAACUCAGAUGCCUGCCCAUUAACCAAACAACCCUACUACACUACACACAAUUUUCAAGGUGCAAGUGGGCAAACACUCCACCUGAAGGACUCCAUAUAGCAUACGAGAGUGGUGGUCUCAUGAUAUUCAUGCUAGUUAGAGGCCGGCUCAGAAAUUUCUGCACAGACAAGGAGCAGUAGUCUCACCUGGUCUGGAUGAAGCAGGCUCUGUCAACUCUGUCUAUAUCUAAGGGGAAAAAAGCAGUAAACAUGCAAUAUGAUGUGCCUUGAAAAGCGAGAAAAGUCUCAGUAAGAAACCAAUAGGCUUCCUCAAUUACACUCAAAAUCUGACCUGUCCCACUCUUUCCCACACAAGGAACAGGAUUCUAUGUGUUCUCCAAACUCAUGUUCUAGCUGCUAAGAAAUCAGGACAGUCUAGAGAAAACUUCCUUAUAUGCCCCAUCAUCUCCCAAAUGGGGAUGGGAACAUUGGGAAUUUGGGUCCAUUUGAAGAAGACCAUGCUAUUUUUUAGUCAUUUCCUCCCAGAGGAUUUUGUUCAGAUGAGGAAUUAGCUAAUCUCAAGGUUAUUUUUGAUGUUUGCUAGAUCUACACUUUCCACCUUGUAAUAGCCCCCAAGAAUAGAAAUUGGUACAUUAUUUCUCUUCAUAGAUAAAAGCUGUUGAAUAAUGUCUACCUCCCAAUGAAACUGGCGAUGAACUUUUGAAAAUCCGCAUCAGAUUGCUACCUAAUCUAUGCCAAACAGUAAUUGGAUAGACACUUUAGAAGCAUAUUAGGGAUUAUCCAAUUAUUUUUCUAAGUGUUCACUUCAACAUUCUCUCUACUUUUAGAAUCCUUCGUUGGACUCCAGAAUAAAAGACUGAAUCGAUUUUGGUAGUGGGGGAUGGGUUCCUUUUCCUUCCCAUCUAUUUUUCUUUCUACCUAAUGACCUUAAAACUCUACAGACAACUGCUGCCAAAAUCUACCCAGUCCCUGGCUUGCUGAUAACAGUCUAGUCCUCCAGUUGGUCUCAGCUACUGUUUCCCUCUACCUCAGCACCACUCAAUCAGUUCUCCAAAAACGAUUCCUGUCAAGACUGACAUUUGCAGAUUCUCCCUGGCUCUUGCACUGCUCCCAACAUGUCUCACCUAGACAAAAAAUUGGAUUAGUUGCUCUACCCUCUCUGAAUAGGGCACAGAGGCUAUUUCCUGUCUUCACAAUGAGAUUCAAUGUUGACCCUUCAAUUCUACAAAUUGGGAAUUUGUAGAAACACAGCUGCUUACCCAUUAACCAAACAAUCAUACUACACCACACACAAUUUUCAGGUGCAACUGGGCAAACACUCCACCUGGAGGACUCAUGAUAUUGAUGAGAGAAAUGCAAAUUAAGAUAAUUCUUUGGUACCAGUAUACAUCUCUCAGGUUGGCUAAAAUGACAGCAAAAGAUAUGGAUGAAUGUUGCAGGGGGCUGUGGGGAAAACUAGGACACUAAUAAAUGGUAAGUGGAGUUGUAAAAUGAUCCAACCAUUCUGGAGAGCAAUUUAGAAUAAUGUCCAAAGGGCUAUCAAACUGUGCAUACCCUUUAAUCCAGCAGUGUUUCUACUGGUCUUGUAUCCUCAAGAGAUUCUAAAGAAGGGAAACGGACCUACAUGUGCAAAACUGUUUGUGGCAUCCCUUUAGGUACUGACAAGCAACUGGAAACAGAGUGGAUUCCUAUCAGAUGGAGAAUGUCUGAAUAAUUUAUAGUAUAAGAAUAUCUGGGAAUAUUAGUGUUCUGUAAGAAAAGAGCAGCAGAAUGAUUUCAGAGAUGGCUGGAGAAACUUACAUGAACUGAUGCUGAGAGAAGUGAAUAGAAUCAGGAAAACAUUGUACACAGCAAGUUUAUAUGAUGACAAUUCUAAUGGACAUGGCUCUUUUCAAGAAUGAAGUGAUUCAAGCCAGUUUCAAGGGUCUUGUAAUGAAGAAAGCAAUCUGCACACAGAGAGGAGACUGUAGGGACUUAGUGUGAAUGACAAAAGCAUUUUCACUUUUGUUGUUGUUUGAAUUUUGUAUUCUUUCUCAUUUUUUUUUCCUUUUUGAUCUGAUUUUUCUUGUGGAACAUGGUGAUUGUGGAAAUAUAUAUAGAAGAAUUGCAAAUAUUUAACAUAUAUUGAAUUAUUUGCCAUUCACAGGAGGGUGUAAGGGGAAAGGAGGGAAAAAUAUUAGAACACAUUUGUCAAGAGUAAAUGUUCAAAACUGUUUAUGCAUGUCUUGAAAACAAAAAGCUUUCAUAAUAAAAUAUGAUAAUUUAAAAAAAACAAUGAGGGCAGCAAGCUCAUCAUCCUUGGAAAAUAUUGAGGUGGCAAUAGUUUAAGCCCUUCAGAGAGAGGUUUUGGUGCCACAACUUGAAGCAGAAGGGAGGGAGAUACAGGUUGAAGAGCUCGGAUACUAUUCUGUAUUUGCAAGUUGAUAGCUCUGCCAGUCCAUUUCCACCUUCUCUGUUCUAUGGUUUCAGGGUUCUUGCUUUUCCCAGAAGGGGGAUAAUUGUCAGAGUUAUACUUCAUGCAGCAAACUUCUUCCGAGCUUGUAGGCUUUGACAUGACAAAGUACUUUGGAAAGCAUUUUGUCUCUGUUAUAGACCCAUUCUAAACAUUCAGAUCUCUGCUCAAAAAUGUUGACCUCUAAAGCAACAGGUCUCUACUAUGCUGUAACUAUAUCAAGGCUAAUCAGGUUCCAGACUAGAUCUCCUACAUCCAAAAAACCUUUGUCCCCAACUGAGAUGUUAAGAAAUUAUCCAUUUCUUACUUUCUCUGCUCUUUUCAAUACCCAUCUUUGCAGCAGACUUUGCAGCAGUCUUUGGACAAUACCACCCACAUUUGGAAGGUUUUUCCCCUUUCUUGCUCCUUUGAGAUAUGAAGAAAUUGCCUCUAAAUUGCUUCUGUUUUUUCAGAAUAACCAAAUUCACUUUUCAAGGUCACCUCCCUAACACUGAUGUGCUAUAUAAAGACAUCCCAUCUAAAACUUGAAUAAUGUUUGAAGAGUCAUGUGGGUCUUUCUUUGAGCAGCUCCUUCACUGAGUCAGUCAGUAGGUAAAGUCCAUGUACUGGUUAGUACUUCUCAGCUUCUUGUUUCAAAAGGUUCGAUCUGGCGAACGGUUCCCAAAUAUUCCUUCUCUGAGCUCCGAGUUGGCUCUAACCAGGACUGAUUCCUGCUCAUCAAGAGGCUGCCCAGUCAUUGUUUGGGGUGGGGGAAGGAGGAGCUCGAGGAAGGUUCUGGGAAGGGGAGGAGCAGCCAGUUUGCUGGUCUCGCAUCUGGUUGGGCGCCAUUUCUUGAGUCGGGGGCCACUGACAUCUCGAGGAACUCCGUCCGACUCUCUGGGAUUCUUCCCCAAGCGGGAGACUUCGAUGCUGAACUCAGCAGAUCAGCCCGUGAAAAGGUCCAUAGUCAGACACUAAGGAGCAGAUCUGGAGAAUCGACACUUGCCUUCCUGGACCUGGCAGCAGGGGAGGGCAAUGUGGAAAUGUUCGACAGCAGCCUGAAAGGUAACAUAGAAGCUGGAGGUGGCUGGUGGAGAAAUUUAACAUGCCAGUUUCUCAGUCUAGAAAUGUUAGUAAGAAGCAACAACAGCAACUUAAUAGGUAAAAGAACAAGGAUCAGAGUCCCUCGAUGAAGAUUGCUCCCAAGAAAAAGGGCAUUCUUAUCUUUCAUCUGCAACUGUGUGGCACUGUCCAAAGUGGGGGGAAGAAUGGGCCUUUCCCAAAUAAUCAAAAUUGCAAUUCCAGCUUAGUGAGCUCCAAUUUAUUUUUGAAAUCCCAAACUAAUCAGAACUACUGCCUGAGCCAAAUUUACCGAGCCUACCAAGUGUUGUGCCUCAACCUCCCAGCCACUGGGUUCCAGUUUCCUUCAGUCCUUCUGAUAAUGGCCUUUCAACUGAAAACCUUACUCAAGUCAAGUUGUGAUGUGAGGUAAUCAGAUUGGUGAUGUUUAAGUGUUUAGGGCUUCAGACAUUUGAGAGGACUGAGCUGGGAUCUGUUUCUAAACAUGGUAGAGAAUUUGUCUUUCAUCUAUAUAGAGCAGCUUACUGAUUCUAAUGGGCAAUAUUUGAUGUAAAAUUUCACCAUGUUUAUGUUGUGUGUGUGUGUGUCUGUGUGUGUGUGCUUGUCUGCCCAUUCAUUGUCAUGUGACUAAGGAGAGAGAUGGCAGUAUUAGAUGGCAGUUUGAAAUCAGUUACUGGAAUGUUUGGGCUUGAUGUCAACUGUUCUUAAUUGAAUGGCUGCUCUUCAAUUUUGAACUUGAAAUCAUGGUUUCGAUUGGAAAGGAGGAUUUAUGGUACAGACAUAUAUAUAUAUAUAUAUAUAUAUAUAUAUAUAUAUAUGUGGGCUAUUUUUAGAGAAAUAAAUUUAAGUAUUAUUUAUUUAUAGGCAAAACAGUAGUGCAGUGAACAUUUAAUGUGAGGUAACAGCAGACUUAUUAUUUAUGGAAAAACAAGCUGAAAUCAUUUAGCUUUCACUGUGGCUAUGGUAAAGGACUGGUUGAAUAUCAGGCAGUUCUAAUCUAAUAGCAAACUAUUGUAACUGUAAUCACAACGGAAUGACAAACUGUCAUAUCGAAUGUGAGCUUCUGGGAUAGAUGAUUGAUAGGAAUCCUUCCUUGGCUAUGUGACUUAAGGAGAGAGAUGGCAGUAUUAGAUGGCAGUUUGAAAUCAGUUACUGGAAUGUUUGGGCUGAUGUCAACGUUCUUAAUUGAAUGGCUGCUCUUCAAUUUUGAACUUGAAAUCAUGGUUUGGAUUGGAAAGGAGGAUUUAUGGUACAGAUAUAUAUAUAUAUAUAUAUAUAUAUAUAUAUAUAUAUAUAUAUGUGGGCUAUUUUUAGAGAAAUAAAUUUAAGUAUUAUUUAUUUAUAGGCAAAACAGUAGUGCAGUGAACAUUUAAUGUGAGGUAACAGCAGACUUAUUAUUUAUGGAAAAACAAGCUGAAAUCAUUUAGCUUUCACUGUGGCUAUGGUAAAGGACUGGUUGAAUAUCAGGCAGUUCUAAUCUAAUAGCAAACUAUUGUAACUGUAAUCACAACGGAAUGACAAACUGUCAUAUCGAAUGUGAGCUUCUGGGAUAGAUGAUUGAUAGGAAUCCUUCCUUGGCUAUGUGACUUAAGGAGAGAGAUGGCAGUAUUAGAUGGCAGUUUGAAAUCAGUUACUGGAAUGUUUGGGCUUGAUGUCAACUGUUCUUAAUUGAAUGGCUGCUCUUCAAUUUUGAACUUGAAAUCAUGGUUUGGAUUGGAAAGGAGGAUUUAUGGUACAGAUAUAUAUAUAUAUGGGCUAUUUUUAGAGAAAUAAAUUUAAGUAUUAUUUGUUUAUAGGCAACACAGUAGUGCAGUGAACAUUUAAUGUGAGUUAACUAACAGCAGACUUAUUAUUUUUGGAAAAACAAGCUGAAAUCAUUUAGCUUUCACUGUGGCUAUGGUAAAGGACUGGUUAAAUAUCAGGCAGUUCUAAUCUAAUAGCAAACUAUUGUAAUGUAACUGUAAUCACAAUGGAAUGACAAACUGUCAUAUGGAAUGUGAGCUUCUCGAAUAGAUGAUUGAUAGGAAUCCUUCCUUGGCUAUGAAUGAGAUAAAGGUUGGAUAAGGAGGGGAAUGCUAAUCAACAAGUUGGUACCAGAAUCAAAAGGAUUUAUGAUUGAUGAUGGCAUAUGGGGAAGGACCAAGAUUUGGUAGGGCAGAAGACAUUGCCCUGUUACAUGCCUCAUCCCUUAAGGGUUACUGGCUUUUGUGGAGGAGAUAUGUCUGAUUAUUCUUUAGACACUCAUUCUUUGUUGCUCCAAGGUCAGGAACAGACAAAAGUAGUAGUGUUAUUUUUGGUCAGGAAAAUGUAGCAAAAAUUUUCUUAAAAGAAAUUGGAAUCUUUAUUCAGUGUUUGACAUAUUGGCAUACUGUUAAAAGCUUUCAAAAUGCAUCAGGGCCCUGAAAAAGUGACAAAAUUCAUCUGGCUUCAAAUAGUGGAUGUCUAUGAGAGUCCUAAAAUAGGGUAAGGUUGUAAAUGACCUAGGAAAAGGGAGAGCCAUGUUAAAUAAAUGUAAAAUUUGUGCAUACAUAAAUUUUUCCUGGCCUUUUAAUUAAUUUUACUUUUAAUUAAAAAUUGUUAAAUGUAAGAUAGAUCACAGACUGAACUAAGUCAUGGUCUACCUAGUUUUAAAGGGAUCAAAUCCUUUUCUUCUUCUUCUUCUUCUUUUUUUUUUUUUUUUUUAAGAAGCUUGCUUUUUAAGUUCUUUGUUAGUGCUUAUACAUGCUUGAUUCAGUUCUGAAUUGUAUUGCAAGAGAUGAUUCAGGGCAAUUAGGAAAUAAAUCAGAAAUGUGAAGCUACAUUAAUAGUGAUCUUAUAUUGAAACAUAAAGGAAAUGUUUGAAUAAGAAUCAUUGAAGGAGACCUAAUUAUUUUUUAAAAAACCAAAACAAUAAAAGGGGUUAAGGUAUUGAUUUUGAUUGAAAGAUGGUUUUUUACCAAAGGGCAAUUUCUCAAACAGAAAACAAGGUGUUCCCUUUGGCCUUUUUCCAUCAAACAAAAUUCAAUUAUUUAAGAAAAGCAUUUGUAAAAUUGUGCAGUUAGGAUAGUGGCUCUUAGAUGGUAAAUUUAAAAAAUGUUUCCUUCAGUAUAUGUCACAUUAGCUAUUCUACUUUCAACAAGUAAAUUGUCAGUGAAUGUAUAUUUCCCCCUUGCUACACACAACCCAUAUAUACAGUGUCAUUCAAAUCUUAUCUGAAGAACCUUGGAUUAUGAAUACUAUAAAAGAUGAUGAUGAUUGUUGGACUUUUUCCUUCUCAAGUCCUGAAUUCCUUACUUUGCUUUCUUUAUAUUCUCUUUUCCUUAUUUUUCUUCUACUUAAAGAUAUAAAAAAUAAAUGUUUUCCUUCCUUUUCUAACUAUUCUACUUUAUUUUUACUGACUUUAUAACUCUUAAAUCUGCAAUAUAUCACUUGUCUGUAAUAUCUGCUUCUCAGUAACUACCAUUACAAUUCCUUCAGUCUGUGUAAAUUCUAUGGACUUGCGAAAAUUUUAAAGAGAUUUUAAAAAAUUUUAAAGAGUAACUCUUUCUUGUAGGAAAAUGAUUCCCAGUCAUAAGAUGAACACAAAAGAAAAUAGUUUAAUUCCAUCGAGAUUGUGUUAACUGUACAAAUAGAAAUGACCACUAGAUAGAAGAUGAUUUCCAGCUAGAAGGAUGUAUCAGGAAGCAUUCAUGGAGUGCUUGUAAUUGCCCUCAAAGGAAGGACAACGAUUGCAGAAGGGAGAAAAGAGAACCGUAAUAUAGGGAGAAAUGCCGGGGUAGAUAUCACACCUAUAGAGGUGAUAGUGAAAAAGAGUCCAAAGACAUUUGGGAAAAAUCAAUGGCAGGUUGAUGAAGUCUUAGUUUGCAAAAUGGCAUCAUGGGAGUAAGACUGGAAAUACCAGCAAAUAUGACAUCUGUUAAGGUGUCAAUCUGUGGAUGUCCUAGAAUCUGUAUUUUAUUAAAUUAGACAAUAUGGAGGCAUGUCAGGUGUGAGCAAAGGAUUGAUGUGUUCUACUGGACACAGAAAAAUUUCUUUUGGUGGCAGAACCGCUCACUGUCAAUACACUUUGAGAAAUCAUGCACAACAGCCAGAAGGCCAGGACAAGAGAAGGUGUUCCCAUUUUGCUAAAGGCCUGUGUUAUUUUUGACUUUCAAAUUUCAACCCAUCACAAAUUUCUGAAAAGCCUUCUUGUCUAAAAUGAUUAAUAUGGAAAUGUUUUACAUAACUGCCCAAAUAUAAUCUGUUUGCUUACUGAUUGCAAUCUUGACAGAAGGGAAGGGGAAGAAAUGAGGAAAUGAUAGGAUUCAGAACUCAAAACAUUAAAGAAAAAAUCUUUAAAAAUAUGUUUCUUCCCCACAGCAAAGAAAUUUCCAAGAAGAGAUCACAUAUAUUAGAGUUGCAGCAGCAGCAAAUUUCUUCAGUGCCAGGAAACUAAGAAAGAGUCAAGGCCUCCCAGGCGAAAAAUCCAACAAAUGUGGCAUGCCCUGGUGAAAAGAUUGCGCCCAAGGCGCAAUCAAGUGAGGCCAGAAGAGAGAUAUGCUGGGAGUGAUUGAAGAGGAGAGGAGAACAUUAAAGGACCUAAAAGGUAGGAGAGAUCAGUUCAAGGAUACAUUUAUAAUUUGGGUUCCACCAAGUUUUAUUUAGAGUCUAAUUGUAAGCCCUCUCCUGAAAACUGUUUCAUAUAUUGAGAAAGG